GAUUCCGGUUGCAGCGGUGAUGCUAGAACCCGUCAAUGUCAAAUCACAGCCCGACGCGUCUUCUCGCUUGCUCUCACCCCCGAUCUGAGAAGAAUAUAUCGAAAUUGAUCUACCCAUUCUGAGAUCAAAGAACCAUUCGCCAUCCCUGGACCACACCUCUGCCAAUCUAUUCCGGAUCACCAUCCUCUCCUGGACCGGAACGCAAUGGCGAGAGCGCCGACAGUGUUUGGCCGGGAGAGAUCGAACUCGCUUUCCUCUAUUCUUCUUUUCUCUGUGCAUGAGGCGCGUUCUAAAACCUUCGAAUUGGUGCAAAACUACUUUAUGAAACUAAAUGAACAAGCACUGAGCCGCUUCGAAUUGGGCUUUUCCAGUUCUUCUGCCAUGAUGGCUCUAUUGGAGGAUUAUUAUACAUACAUCUAAAGACGGAUCCACUGUUAUACUGUUCAUUCUAUAGUGACAUCCGGGAUUGUCGAUUUUGCCCUUUCUAUUUCCCAUAAUUACAAGCUGCCAUUCUCUCCUUUUUUCUGGAAGCGUCCAUCUACACCGACAGAGGCUUUUGUCUACAUCAGCAUCCAUCAAAUCCAAUUCCAAAGCCACCAUCUUUGCUGCAUAAUCAAGUUCAGAAGCACAACCAUUCAUCCAGAGAGAUCAAUUAUCAAGAACGAUUGAGAGAGAGAGAGGUACCGUCUGUUUCUCCAAUUCAGACCAGAAACGACUCCAGCUCUGUUUUCGCAAUCCAAGAGAAAGAAAGAAAAUCUAUUUCUAAACGACUCCAAUCGUCUUCUUCAGCUUACAAGUGAUGGAAUCUACGAGCACUACGAAACGGGUCAAAAGAUUGUUGGAAGGAGGAUGUAAAUCUAAUCAAUUUGAUCAAGUUAAUUCGAAGAGAUGGAAAAGAAUGUUUGAGGAACAAGUAGUCGAAGGAUCGAGUACAGUUGGAAAUGAAGAUGCGUUUGCGAUGCUGGCAGGUCUCGAAGCUUCUAUCAACUCCCAGACGAUGAACUGAGCCACCAAGAUCAAUGGCGAUUCCGCCAUUCCUUCCCCCUCUAUAUAUAACCAAAAUCUCUGAGUCUUGGUUUCUUCAGGAAGCCUCUGUCAACGCCCGUCUUCAUUGUUUCACAACAUCAAACGCAGCCAUCAAAAUCAACAGCAGUGAAAGCCUGGGUCACCCAGCUGAGUUGGCUCAUAAUAAGAAAGUCCAGAAUCUGCAUUUGGGGAAUGAUGUGGAUCACUAGAUGGUCAGAUCUGAAGGUUAUAUGCAGGAAACUAAAGCUUUUGUUUGUAUAAUUUUGUUUCUUCAUUUUGUCUUACUAUGGUUGUUUCUUCUAUUCUGAGGUAGGUACUUGAUUCAUUGGUUACUCUGAAAAAUCCCUAUCUGAAGUAGGAAAUGGUUUAAGGACAGUCUCUGUGUAGCUUAUGAUAUAUAUUGUAUGGUGUAAUAUGAGCUUUGGGUAUAUAAAAUGGUGCUAAUUUUAUUCUUUAAAUGGCAGUACAUUCUUUAGGAACUGAAGGAAUGAAAAAAGAUGGACAACAAAUCCUGCUAGCAGAUAAAGAUUGAGUAUAUACUCUUCUGUGCGAGUGACAUCAAGCAUGUUUUGGAGACCCUUCAAAUCACUUUUAGAUUAAUGCUUUUUUAUUUUUUGAUGAGUUUUUCUUUUUUAAACUCUAUUUUCCUCUCGCAAUUUGUAAAAUAACAAGAAAUCAACAAUUUUAGUUAACGCUUAUUAGAUUA